UACAGAGGGGGCAAGCGUUGUUCGGAAUUACUGGGCGUAAAGGGCGCGUAGGCGGCCUUCUAAGUCGAACGUGAAAUCCCCGGGCUCAACCCGGGAACUGCGUCCGAGACUGGAAGGCUCGAAUCCGGGAGAGGGAUGUGGAAUUCCAGGUGUAGCGGUGAAAUGCGUAGAUAUCGGGAGGAACACCUGUGGCGAAGGCGGCCAUCUGGACGGUAACUGACGCUGAGACGCGAAAGCGUGGGUAGCAAACAGGA
rnacentral:rRNA from 1 species